ACAAAUGAGUCUUUUAAUAGCAUCCAAGCAUAGCAUUUUAAUGUUAAUGUUAUAAUAAAUAGAAGGAAAAAACAGGGGAAAACAAAAAUAAAAGCGCGGAAAAGAAAACUUAAAUGCCCUUUUUCAUUUUUUUCAAUCUUCCCCCGAAUUUCCUUCUCUCACAGAUCCCUCUCCCGAUUUUUCUCUUCUGGCAGACCCUUUCCUCAACGCGGCUACCACCCAAACGUUGCUGCCGACUCACCGCACUCCUCACCCAACGACUCCCUGCUCAUCGAACUAGUCGUCGACUCGUCGCACCGAACAGAUUCGCCAGGAAUUCGCUUUCGUGCAGCUGCGAGUGUUUUCGAUUUCUCUUUUAUGUCGUGUUGUGUCGAUUGACAAGAGGAAAGUAUGUUGAGCAUGGUAUAUUUAAUCUCAAUUCUCAUUUUAUAUUUAGAAGGCUUAAAACUGUAUUCCUUUAAAUAUUGAAGGUAUUUUUUUUAUUUCAUUUUCAUCUCAAUGCAAGUUGUCAUCAUUCUUUUGAGGUAUGCAUUCUUUGUGCAAGCAUUCAAAGAUCAUUGUAACUAUUUGUGUUAGAUUAUUGUGCGUGCAAAAUGGACCACAAUUAUAUCAUGUGACAGAUUUUUUGUUGUUGAUGAUCAUUUAGCUAUUGAGCUUUUUUGCUAUUGGGUCGAAUUAGUUGUUAAAAAUUGAGAGUGUGUUUGGAAAUUUUUUGAUUUGGGAUAUCUUUUAGAUAAGCAUUUCUCUAUUGGGGUUCUUCAGAGUUUCUAAAAAGUCCUUAGUCUUUUUCUUUUUUUGGUUUCUUUAGUUUUAUUGUUUUGGUGGUUUGGCUGUAGUCAGUGAGCAAAAUAAACUUUUACAACAUGCUACAACCAUAAUUCUUUUUCUAAACAUUUUGUAACUUAAAAUUGUUUUUCUUUUUUUAUGUAAAUCCAAUCGAAAUGUGUUUUUGUGGACUCCAUUUGCUAUAGGGCUCUCCUAUUUUGUAUACAACUCACAUUUUCAAUGAAGAGUCUACUCCAUGCUAUAUUUGUUUCGUAAUGUAUGUAUAACCUGCCAUGGUUUUGUUAUAACAAUGAAUGUCAUGAAUAGUUUAUGCUGCUAGUGAAAGGGUAUGACCAUCUUUGCAGCGGGAAUGAUCAACAAUGAUCAAGGUUUCAAUUUUCUUAGAUGUAUUAGUUCAGACUUUGAUAAAGUCAAGGCAACUAUCAAAGGUUCUAUGAAUUUAAAGAUAAUGGCUUCUAGUUUGACUGGAUCGACAGACCCCCUUUCAGAGAAUCUUAUGGGCUACUAAAUAUUCUAGUUGUAGCAGUAGUCAGUAAAAUUUGCAAAUGUGGCUUUGAGAAUCUUUUAUUUUACUGACCAUUGAUAUUUUUCUGUUCAUACUGAUGCAUGGCUUAUUAAUUGUAUUCCAUAGCUGAGCAAUAAGUUCCAUUCAUACUAAACUAAGGAAGCUGGCUAUUUUCACUUUGUAUGUUAGAAUGAAGGAAAAGCUAGGGAAAUUCUGGAUAAGGCAGUGGAGCAUGCUGAAUUAUCCAAACCACUUAUUUAGGCCUUGGUACAUUUUGAGGCAAUUCACUCUACGGCAAAAAGAAUUGAUUAUUUAGAUUCAUUAGUUGAAAAGGUCAUAAUGCCCAACACAGAGAAAGCAACGGUCGCGAGUGCUUCAAUGAGGGAGGAGUUAUCGAGCAUUUUCUUCGAGAUACAUUAUGAGACUUUGAGGGAAGUUGAAAUGCAAGGAAUGUACGCAUGGCAGUCACAGGCAAGGGAAGAGGUAGAGACGUUGUGUGAAGAAGAUGAAGACGAGCAUGGUGACACCUUAUGUGGGGCAUGCGGUAAGAAGUAUGCUUCAGAUGAAUUUUGGAUUUGCUGUAAUAUUUGUUGUAUGAAGAAAUGCUUCAGUUUAUCAGUUUCCUUGUGAUGUAUUGAGCUUUCUAAUAAUACAAGAUACUCCUAUUCUUUUAAAAA